UGGCUCAGGACGAACGCUGGCGGCAUGCCUAACACAUGCAAGUCGAACGGAGAUUAUUUCGGUAAUCUUAGUGGCGAACGGGUGAGUAACGCGUAGGCAACCUGCCCUUUAGUUGGGGACAACAUCCCGAAAGGGGUGCUAAUACCGAAUGUGAUCGCUUUCUCGCAUGAGAGAGCGAUGAAAGAUGGCCUCUAUUUAUAAGCUAUCGCUAAAGGAUGGGCCUGCGUCUGAUUAGCUAGUUGGUGGGGUAACGGCUCACCAAGGCGAUGAUCAGUAGCCGGUCUGAGAGGAUGAACGGCCACAUUGGGACUGAGACACGGCCCAGACUCCUACGGGAGGCAGCAGUGGGGAAUCUUCCGCAAUGGGCGAAAGCCUGACGGAGCAAUGCCGCGUGAGUGAUGAAGGAAUUCGUUCCGUAAAGCUCUUUUGUUUAUGACGAAUGUGCAGACUGUGAAUAAUGGUUUGUAAUGACGGUAGUAAACGAAAAAGCAACGGCUAACUACGUGCCAGCAGCCGCGGUAAUACGUAGGUUGCAAGCGUUGUCCGGAUUUACUGGGUGUAAAGGGCGUGUAGGCGGAGCUGCAAGUCAGAUGUGAAAUCCCGGGGCUCAACCCCGGAACUGCAUUUGAAACUGUAGCCCUUGAGUAUCGGAGAGGCAAGCGGAAUUCCUAGUGUAGCGGUGAAAUGCGUAGAUAUUAGGAGGAACACCAGUGGCGAAGGCGGCUUGCUGGACGACAACUGACGCUGAGGCGCGAAAGCGUGGGGAGCAAACAGGAUUAGAUACCCUGGUAGUCCACGCUGUAAACGAUGAAUACUAGGUGUGGGAGGACUGACCCCUUCCGUGCCGCAGUUAACACAAUAAGUAUUCCACCUGGGGAGUACGACCGCAAGACUGAAACUCAAAGGAAUUGACGGGGGCCCGCACAAGCAGUGGAUUAUGUGGUUUAAUUCGACGCAACGCGAAGAACCUUACCAGGAUUUGACAUCCAACUAACGAAGCAGAGAUGCAUUAGGUGCCCUUCGGGGAAAGUUGAGACAGGUGGUGCAUGGUUGUCGUCAGCUCGUGUCGUGAGAUGUUGGGUUAAGUCCCGCAACGAGCGCAACCCCUAUUGUUAGUUGCUACGCGAGAGCACUCUAGCGAGACUGCCGUUGACAAAACGGAGGAAGGCGGGGACGACGUCAAAUCAUCAUGCCCCUUAUGUCCUGGGCUACACACGUAAUACAAUGGCCGUCAACAAAGGGAAGCGAAGCCGCGAGGUGGAGCAAACCCCCAAAAACGGUCUCAGUUCGGAUUGCAGGCUGCAACUCGCCUGCAUGAAGCUGGAAUUGCUAGUAAUCGUGGAUCAGCAUGCCACGGUGAAUACGUUCCCGGGCCUUGUACACACCGCCCGU
rnacentral:rRNA from 1 species